rnacentral:rRNA from 1 species
UGAGGAAUAUUGCGCAAUGGGCGAAAGCCUGACGCAGCAACGCCGCGUGGGGGAUGAAGGAGCUUUGCUUUGUAAACCCCUGUAGGGAGGGACGAAUCGCCGAUUUUUUCGGUAUUGACGGUACCUCCAAAGUAAGCACCGGCUAACUCCGUGCCAGCAGCCGCGGUAAUACGGAGGGUGCAAGCGUUGUCCGGAUUCACUGGGUGUAAAGGGCGUGUAGGCGGGAAGAUGUGUCGGAAGUGAAAUCGCGCGGCUUAACCGUGUCAAUUGCUUCCGAAACUGUUUUUCUUGAAUGCGAGAGAGGUAGAUGGAAUUCCAGGUGUAGCGGUGGAAUGCGUAGAUAUCUGGAAGAACACCGGUGGCGAAGGCGGUCUACUGGCUCGCGAUUGACGCUGAGGCGCGAAAGUGUGGGGAGCAAACAGG